rnacentral:rRNA from 1 species
AAAAAAGGUAAGCUACUAAGAGCGAAUGGUGGAUGCCUUGACUGGUAAAGGCGAUGAAGGACGUACUAGACUGCGAUAAGCUACGGGGAGCUGUCAAGAAGCUUUGAUCCGUAGAUUUCCGAAUGGGGCAACCCAAUGUAUAGAGAUAUACAUUACCUAUAUAGGAGCGAACGAGGGGAAUUGAAACAUCUUAGUACCCUCAGGAAAAGAAAUCAAUAGAGAUUGCGUCAGUAGCGGCGAGCGAAAGCGCAAGAGGGCAAACCCAGUGCUUGCACUGGGGGUUGUAGGACUGUAAUGUGCAAGAGGUAAGUUUAGCAGAACAUUCUGGAAAGUAUAACCAUAGAGGGUGAUAGUCCCGUAUGCGAAAAACAAACCUUAGCUAGCAGUAUCCUGAGUAGGGCGGGACACGAGGAAUCCUGUCUGAAUCCGGGUCGACCACGAUCCAACCCUAAAUACUAAUACCAGAUCGAUAGUGCACAAGUACCGUGAGGGAAAGGUGAAAAGAACUGAGGUGAUCAGAGUGAAAUAGAACCUGAAACCAUUUGCUUACAAUCAUUCAGAGCCUUAUGUAGCAAUACAGGGUGAUGGACUGCCUUUUGCAUAAUGAGCCUGCGAGUUGUGGUGUCUGGCAAGGUUAAGCAAACGCGAAGCCGUAGCGAAAGCGAGUCUGAAUAGGGCGCUUAGUCAGAUGCUGCAGACCCGAAACGAAGUGAUCUAUCCAUGAGCAAGUUGAAGCUAGUGUAAGAACUAGUGGAGGACUGAACCCAUAGGCGUUGAAAAGCCCCGGGAUGACUUGUGGAUAGGGGUGAAAGGCCAAUCAAACUUCGUGAUAGCUGGUUCUCUCCGAAAUAUAUUUAGGUAUAGCGUUGUGUCGUAAUAUAAGGGGGUAGAGCACUGAAUGGGCUAGGGCAUACACCAAUGUACCAAACCCUAUCAAACUCCGAAUACCUUAUAUGUAAUCACAGCAGUCAGGCGGCGAGUGAUAAAAUCCGUCGUCAAGAGGGAAACAACCCAGACUACCAGCUAAGGUCCCUAAAUCUUACUUAAGUGGAAAACGAUGUGAAGUUACUUAAACAACCAGGAGGUUGGCUUAGAAGCAGCCAUCCUUUAAAGAAAGCGUAAUAGCUCACUGGUCUAGUGAUUUUGCGCGGAAAAUAUAACGGGGCUAAAGUAAGUACCGAAGCUGUAGACUUGCACACAACUUAGAUUAUUUAAGUUUAGAAUAUGAGAAACUAAGUUAUAUGUUUAGUUAUAUUUUUACUGAUUUUUAUAGAGUAAAGAUAGAAAUAAAACUUAGUAAAAUCAGUAAAAAUAUUCUUAGACUAAAGUUAAGUAGUUUAAGUUGUGUGCAAGUGGUAGGAGAGCGUUCUAUUUGCGUCGAAGGUAUACCGGUAAGGAGUGCUGGAGCGAAUAGAAGUGAGCAUGCAGGCAUGAGUAGCGAUAAUUAAUGUGAGAAUCAUUAACGCCGUAAACCCAAGGUUUCCUACGCGAUGCUCGUCAUCGUAGGGUUAGUCGGGUCCUAAGUCGAGUCCGAAAGGGGUAGACGAUGGCAAAUUGGUUAAUAUUCCAAUACCAACAUUAGUGUGCGAUGGAAGGACGCUUAGGGCUAAGGGGGCUAGCGGAUGGAAGUGCUAGUCUAAGGUCGUAGGAGGUUGUACAGGCAAAUCCGUAUAACAAUACUCCGAGAACUGAAAGGCUUUUUGAAGUCUUCGGAUGGAUAGAAGAACCCCUGAUGCCGUCGAGCCAAGAAAAGUUUCUAAGUUUAGCUAAUGUUGCCCGUACCGUAAACCGACACAGGUGGGUGGGAUGAGUAUUCUAAGGCGCGUGGAAGAACUCUCUUUAAGGAACUCUGCAAAAUAGCACCGUAUCUUCGGUAUAAGGUGUGGUUAGCUUUGUAUUAGGAUUUACUCCGAAAGCAAGGAAACUUACAACAAAGAGUCCCUCCCGACUGUUUACCAAAAACACAGCACUCUGCUAACUCGUAAGAGGAUGUAUAGGGUGUGACGCCUGCCCGGUGCUCGAAGGUUAAUUGAUGGGGUUAGCAUUAGCGAAGCUCUUGAUCGAAGCCCGAGUAAACGGCGGCCGUAACUAUAACGGUCCUAAGGUAGCGAAAUUCCUUGUCGGUUAAAUACCGACCUGCAUGAAUGGCGUAACGAGAUGGGAGCUGUCUCAAAGAGGGAUCCAGUGAAAUUGUAGUGGAGGUGAAAAUUCCUCCUACCCGCGGCAAGACGGAAAGACCCCGUGGACCUUUACUACAGCUUGACACUGCUACUUGGAUAAGAAUGUGCAGGAUAGGUGGGAGGCUUUGAGUAUAUGACGCCAG